GAGUGAAGCGGCAACAGCUCAAAUUUGAAAUCUGGCUCUUUUAGAGUCCGAGUUGUAAUUUGCAGAGGGCGCUUUGGCUUUGGCAGCGGUCCAAGUUCCUUGGAACAGGACGUCACAGAGGGUGAGAAUCCCGUACGUGGUCGCUGGCUAUUGCCGUGUAAAGCCCCUUCGACGAGUCGAGUUGUUUGGGAAUGCAGCUCUAAAUGGGAGGUACAUUUCUUCUAAAGCUAAAUAUUGGCCAGAGACCGAUAGCGCACAAGUAGAGUGAUCGAAAGAUGAAAAGCACUUUGGAAAGAGAGUCAAACAGCACGUGAAAUUGUUGAAAGGGAAGCGCUUGCAGCCAGACUUGCUUACAGUUGCUCAUCCGGGUUUCUACCCGGUGCACUCUUCUGUAGGCAGGCCAGCAUCAGUUUGGGCGGUAGGAUAAAGGUCUCUGUCACGUACCUCCUUUCGGGGAGGCCUUAUAGGGGAGACGACAUACUACCAGCCUGGACUGAGGUCCGCGCAUCUGCUAGGAUGCUGGCGUAAUGGCUGUAAGCGGCCCGUCUUGAAACACGGACCAAGGAGUCUAACAUCUAUGCGAGUGUUUGGGUGUCAAGCCCGAGCGCGUAAUGAAAGUGAACGGAGGUGGGAACCCGCAAGGGUGCACCAUCGACCGAUCCUGAUGUCUUCGGAAGGAUUUGAGUAAGAGCAUGGCUGUUGGGACCCGAAAGAUGGUGAACUAUGCUUGAAUAGGGUGAAGCCAGAGGAAACUCUGGUGGAGGCUCGCAGCGGUUCUGACGUGCAAAUCGAUCGUCAAAUUUGGGCAUAGGGGCGAAAGACUAAUCGAA
rnacentral:rRNA from 1 species